rnacentral:rRNA from 1 species
AUUGAACGCUGGCGGCAGGCCUAACACAUGCAAGUCGAAUGGUAACAGGAAACAGCUUGCUGUUUCGCUGACGAGUGGCGGACGGGUGAGUAAUGUCUGGGAAACUGCCUGAUGGAGGGGGAUAACUACUGGAAACGGUAGCUAAUACCGCAUAACGUCGCAAGACCAAAGAGGGGGACCUUCGGGCCUCUUGCCAUCAGAUGUGCCCAGAUGGGAUUAGCUAGUAGGUGGGGUAACGGCUCACCUAGGCGACGAUCCCUAGCUGGUCUGAGAGGAUGACCAGCCACACUGGAACUGAGACACGGUCCAGACUCCUACGGGAGGCAGCAGUGGGGAAUAUUGCACAAUGGGCGCAAGCCUGAUGCAGCCAUGCCGCGUGUAUGAAGAAGGCCUUCGAGUUGUAAAGUACUUUCUGCGGGGAGGAAGGGAGUAAAGUUAAUACCUUUGCUCAUUGACGUUACCCGCAGAAGAAGCACCGGCUAACUCCGUG